UGGAUCCCCUCUCUGCCUCUCAGUAGAUGUGGCAGCAUGAACAGGCACCAGGAGGACCCAGAAGAAAGGAGGUGACUGGCUGAAGCCUGGGGCCUGGGGAAGGGGCCUGGCUGGCUUUCGGGGAAGGAGGAGUAAGGGGCUUCACUGUGUGCAUUGGACCCAGAGGUUUCAAGAACCUUCCGGAGGCCUCAGGGAAGAACCUGAACUCUUGCUUGAGGAAAAGAAGAGAAAGCUCUGAACGAGCAGCCAGAGGAGUGGGCAAGGGAGUGAAUGAACUCGUGCAGCAGAGGGAAUGAGCAGAAACUGCCUGGAAGGCCCACCAAGAGUGUGGGGGGCUCCUUGUGAGGACUGACCAGGACCAGCUGUGCUCGGCUCAGGGGACUCAGCAUAAACGAGGAAGAUCCAGCCCUUGUCCUUGGGGACGAGGGACUCAGAUAGGAACUCAGAAAUCCUCAGGCCUCGAGAGCGUCAGCAUGACCUGGAGAACUAAUGAGAAUGCAGCAGACCAAGACUGCCACUGCUGGGAAGAUCGAGUCGUUUCCAGCCUUUAAGAACAACUAAAAACCUAGGACGCCACGUAUAACGCAAACAUAAGAGGACUCUGGAAAGCGGAGAGAAAGCCGACUGGCUGGGGACUUCGGGACCGGAAGAGCGACACGGUGGUAUUGUGAAUGACGCUGCUAUGAAUAUGAGUGUGCAAAUCUAUCUUCAAGACCCUGCUUUCAGUUCUCUGUGGUGUAUGCCCAGAAGUGGAAUUGCUGGAUCACAUGGCGGAUAACCAAUUUUCCCAAGACCACUUGUUGAAGGCUGUCCUUUUCCAGUUGAGUGGACCCUUGGAACCCUUGUCAAAACUUAUUUGACCAUAUAUUUGAGGGUUUAUUAAGACAGAAAACUUUUAGUCAAUCCAAUGCCACAGAAAAAAAAACUGUGGCCCCAUCCCCACCCCGGCCAGCAAAAGCCACAUUGUAGCCUAUGUUUCUGCCCAGGCUGUAAUGAGGAGCCCCAAUACCCUGCUGAGUGGUGUCAGAGAAGGCUCAGGAGGGAGUCAGGGCUUUCAUUCCCCCCUUGAAACUUCCUCUUUGACUCAUGGAUUAUUUAUCGAUUUAUAGUUUG
rnacentral:lncRNA from 1 species